CCUACGGGUGGCAGCAGUGGGGAAUAUUGGACAAUGGGCGAAAGCCUGAUCCAGCCAUGCCGCGUGUGUGAAGAAGGCCUUCGGGUUGUAAAGCACUUUCAGUGGGGAAGAAAGCCUUGGGGCUAAUACCCUCGAGGAAGGACAUCACCCACAGAAGAAGCACCGGCUAACUCCGUGCCAGCAGCCGCGGUAAUACGGAGGGUGCGAGCGUUAAUCGGAAUUACUGGGCGUAAAGCGCGCGUAGGCGGUCUGAUAAGCCGGUUGUGAAAGCCCCGGGCUCAACCUGGGAACGGCAUCCGGAACGGUCAGGCUAGAGUGCAGGAGAGGAAGGUAGAAUUCCCGGUGUAGCGGUGAAAUGCGUAGAGAUCGGGAGGAAUACCAGUGGCGAAGGCGACCUUCUGGACUGACACUGACGCUGAGGUGCGAAAGCGUGGGUAGCAAACAGGAUUAGAUACCCCAUAGUC
rnacentral:rRNA from 1 species